rnacentral:tRNA from 1 species
UGCCCGGUGGUGUAAUGGUAACACAUCAGGCUUUGGACCUGAGUAACGAGGUUCGAAUCCUCGCCGGGCAG